GAAUUCGCCCUUAGAGUUUGAUCCUGGCUCAGGACGAACGCUGGCGGCGCGCCUAACACAUGCAAGUCGAACGGAGUCAAGAGGAGCUUGCUUUUCUUGACUUAGUGGCGAACGGGUGAGUAACGCGUGAGUAACCUGCCCUAGAGUGGGGGACAACAGUUGGAAACGACUGCUAAUACCGCAUAAGCCCACGGAUCCGCAUGGAUCUGCGGGAAAAGGAUUUAUUCGCUUUAGGAUGGACUCGCGUCCAAUUAGCUAGUUGGUGAGGUAACGGCCCACCAAGGCGACGAUUGGUAGCCGGACUGAGAGGUUGAACGGCCACAUUGGGACUGAGACACGGCCCAGACUCCUACGGGAGGCAGCAGUGGGGGAUAUUGCACAAUGGGGGAAACCCUGAUGCAGCGACGCCGCGUGGAGGAAGAAGGUUUUCGGAUUGUAAACUCCUGUCGUUAGGGACGAUAAUGACGGUACCUAACAAGAAAGCACCGGCUAACUACGUGCCAGCAGCCGCGGUAAAACGUAGGGUGCAAGCGUUGUCCGGAAUUACUGGGUGUAAAGGGAGCGCAGGCGGACCGGCAAGUUGGAAGUGAAAACUAUGGGCUCAACCCAUAAAUUGCUUUCAAAACUGCUGGCCUUGAGUAGUGCAGAGGCAGGUGGAAUUCCCGGUGUAGCGGUGGAAUGCGUAGAUAUCGGGAGGAACACCAGUGGCGAAGGCGACCUACUGGGCACCAACUGACGCUGAGGCUCGAAAGCAUGGGUAGCAAACAGGAUUAGAUACCCUGGUAGUCCAUGCCGUAAACGAUGAUUACUAGGUGUUGGAGGAUUGACCCCUUCAGUGCCGCAGUUAACACAAUAAGUAAUCCACCUGGGGAGUACGACCGCAAGGUUGAAACUCAAAGGAAUUGACGGGGGCCCGCACAAGCAGUGGAGUAUGUGGUUUAAUUCGAAGCAACGCGAAGAACCUUACCAGGUCUUGACAUCCGAUGCAUAGCACAGAGAUGUGUGAAGUCCUUCGGGACAUCGAGACAGGUGGUGCAUGGUUGUCGUCAGCUCGUGUCGUGAGAUGUUGGGUUAAGUCCCGCAACGAGCGCAACCCUUAUUGCCAGUUACUACGUUAAGAGGACUCUGGCGAGACUGCCGUUGACAAAACGGAGGAAGGUGGGGAUGACGUCAAAUCAUCAUGCCCUUUAUGACCUGGGCUACACACGUACUACAAUGGCGUUAAACAAAGAGAAGCAAGACCGCGAGGUGGAGCAAAACUCAAAAACAACGUCUCAGUUCAGAUUGCAGGCUGCAACUCGCCUGCAUGAAGUCGGAAUUGCUAGUAAUCGCGGAUCAGCAUGCCGCGGUGAAUACGUUCCCGGGCCUUGCACACACCGCCCGUCA
rnacentral:rRNA from 1 species